rnacentral:misc_RNA from 1 species
AACUUUCGACAAUGGAUCACUUGGCUCUCGCAUCGAUGAAGAACGCAGCGAAUUGUGAUAAGUAAUGUGAAUUGCAGAUUUUCAGUGAAUCAUCGAAUCUUUGAACGCACCUUGCGCUCCUUGGUAUUCCGAGGAGCAUGCCUGUUUGAGUGUCAUGGAAUUCUCAACCAUGUCUUGAUUGAUUUCGAGGCAUGGCUUGGAUGUGGGGGUUGCUGGCGGCGAAAGCGGUCGGCUCUCCUGAAAUGCAUUAGCGAUGGACAGCAAGUCUGACGUGCACGGCCUCGACGUGAUAAUGAUCGUCGUCGCUGGAGCGUCGGACGAGCACAAUAUAUGUCCCUUUGCUUCCAAUCCUUUGACUUGGGACUUGGACUUUCGAG